UACGUAGGCAGCAAACGUUGUUCGGAAUUACUGGGCGUAAAGAGUGUGUAGGCGGCUUUGUUAGUUUGGUGUGAAAUCUCCCGGCUUAACUGGGAGGGUGCGCCGAAUACUGCAAGGCUAGAGUACUGGAGAGGAAAGCGGAAUUCCUGGUGUAGCGGUGAAAUGCGUAGAUAUCAGGAGGAACACCGGUGGUGUAGACGGCUUUCUGGACAGUAACUGACGCUGAGACACGAAAGCGUGGGGAGCAGACAGG
rnacentral:rRNA from 1 species